CACGGGGGGAGCAAGCGUUGUUCGGAUUCAUUGGGCGUAAAGGGCUCGUAGGUGGCUUUGUAAGUCGGAGGUGAAAUCCCAUGGCUCAACCAUGGACACGCCUUCGAAACUGUGAAGCUUGAGGCUGGGAGAGGAAAUCGGAAUUCCUGGUGUAGCGGUGAAAUGCGUAGAUAUAGGAAGGAAUACCAGUGGCGAAGGCGGCCUCCUGGAUCGACACUGACGCUGAGGCGCGAAAGCGUGGGGAGCAAACAGG
rnacentral:rRNA from 1 species